GGGUCAGUAGGUUGGUCAUGCCUCAGGUAUGCACUGGUCUCACUGAUUCCUCCUUCCUGAUGAGCCGUAAUGCCAUUAAUUUGGUGUUGCGAGGAAUCUGGACUUUUACUUUGAAAAAAUUAGAGUGUUUAAAGCAGGCCUACGCUUGAAUACAUUAGCAUGGAAUAAUAGAAUAGGACU
rnacentral:rRNA from 1 species